rnacentral:rRNA from 1 species
UACGGAGGGGGCUAGCGUUGUUCGGAAUUACUGGGCGUAAAGCGCGCGUAGGCGGCUUUGUAAGUUAGAGGUGAAAGCCCGGGGCUCAACCCCGGAACUGCCUUUAAGACUGCAUCGCUUGAAUCCGGGAGAGGUGAGUGGAAUUCCGAGUGUAGAGGUGAAAUUCGUAGAUAUUCGGAAGAACACCAGUGGCGAAGGCGGCUCACUGGACCGGCAUUGACGCUGAGGUGCGAAAGCGUGGGGAGCAAACAGG